GAUGAAGAACGUAGCGAAAUGCGAUAAGUAGUGUGAAUUGCAGAAUUCAGUGAAUCAUCGAAUCUUUGAACGCACAUUGCGCCCCUUGGUAUUCCAUGGGGCAUGCCUGUUCGAGCGUCAUUUGUACCCUCAAGCUAUGCUUGGUGUUGGGUGUUUGUCCUCUCCUUUUGCGAUUGGAUUCGCCUUAAAGACAUUGGCAGCCAGUGUAUUGGUCUUGAAGCGCAGCACAUUUUGCGAUUCUUGCUGAUAAUCACUAGCGUCCAGUAAGCCUAUUUUAACACUUUUGACCUCGGAUCAGGUAGGGAUACCCGCUGAACUUAAGCAUAUCAAUAAGCGGAGGA
rnacentral:misc_RNA from 1 species